rnacentral:rRNA from 1 species
ACAUGCAGUCGAGCGGACAGAUGGGAGCUUGCUCCCUGAUGUUAGCGGCGGACGGGUGAGUAACACGUGGGUAACCUGCCUGUAAGACUGGGAUAACUCCGGGAAACCGGGGCUAAUACCGGAUGCUUGUUUGAACCGCAGGGUUCAAAUAUAAAAGGUGGCUUUUAGCUACCACUUACAGAUGGACCCGCGGCGCAUUAGCUAGUUGGUGAGGUAACGGCUCACCAAGGCAACGAUGCGUAGCCGACCUGAGAGGGUGAUCGGCCACACUGGGACUGAGACACGGCCCAGACUCCUACGGGAGGCAGCAGUAGGGAAUCUUCCGCAAUGGACGAAAGUCUGACGGAGCAACGCCGCGUGAGUGAUGAAGGUUUUCGGAUCGUAAAACUCUGUUGUUAGGGAAGAACAAGUACCGUUCGAAUAGGGCGGUACCUUGACGGUACCUAACCAGAAAGCCACGGCUAACUACGUGCCAGCAGCCGCGGUAAUACGUAGGUGGCAAGCGUUGUCCGGAAUUAUUGGGCGUAAAGCGCGCGCAGGCGGUUUCUUAAGUCUGAUGUGAAAGCCCCCGGCUCAACCGGGGAGGGUCAUUGGAAACUGGGGAACUUGAGUGCAAAGAGGAGAGUGGAAUUCCACGUGUAGCGGUGAAAUGCGUAGAGAUGUGGAGGAACACCAGUGGCGAAGGCGACUCUCUGGUCUGUAACUGACGCUAAGGCGCGAAAGCGUGGGGAGCGAACAGGAUUAGAUACCCUGGUAGUCCACGCCGUAAACGAUGAGUGCUAAGUGUUAGAGGGUUUCCGCCCUUUAGUGCUGCAGCAAACGCAUUAAACACUCCGCCUGGGGAGUACGGUCGCAGGACUGAAACUCUAAGGAAUUAACAGGGGCCCCCACAACCGUUGGACCAUAUGGUUUAUUUCAAACAACGCCACAAACUUACCAGGUCGUGACGUCCUCUGACAACCCUAAAGAUAGGGCUUCCCCUCCGGG